UUGAGUGAAAUUAAAUGAGUAUCGUAUCACUGCAACAAGUCCCUUUUAAUAGAGCAAUGUUUUAGUUGGAUUUAGGGAAUAGCCGAAACGUUUUCUGACAACUCGAAACUGAUUUCUCGAUUGACCUACACAUGUAGGCUAUCCAUAUUGCAUAGGCCUAUCAUUGAAGGGGCAUCAUGCGUCAAGUGUCCGAUGCACUAGGAGGGGAAAAUUGAAGCCGAGGACUUCACCAGCAGGUUAUGCAGAGAGCUAAACUUCUCACCUCAGCCUUACCUUGUGUCUUUCCUCAAGAGGACCCUCCCUGCUUUCCAUACAGUGCUGGACAAAUAUAUGAAAACCCUGUCACCUUUCUUAAAUAAUUCCGUACAUUUCUUCUAAAAUAAGUUUGCAUUUCAAAAAAACGUCAUCACACCUUAUUGAAUAUUCAACGUUGCAGAACCAAUUUUGUUUUUGUAAAAUUAAGUUCACAAUUUUAAUUUAGAAAAUGACAUGGCAUGGACAAAAUUAUUGGCACCCUGGAGCUAGUACUUGGUUGCACAGGCUUUGGCCAAGAUGACUGCAGACUAAAGCUUCUUGUAGCCAUCAAUGAGCUUGCUGCACCUUUCUACUUGAGGUUUUACCCAAUUUUCAGCAGAUAACUGCUCCUACUAACUGCUGUUUUCAGCUCUUGCCAUAGGUUUUGAAUGGGAUUCAGGUCUGGACUCUUCGCUGGUCACACCAGAACAGUCCAGCAUCUCUUCUUGAACUAUUUAUGGGUGCUUUUUGAUGUGUGUUUGGAGUUGUCCUUCUGUAAGACCCACAACCUUCAAUGGAGACUCAGUUUUUGGAUACUGAGUUGAACAUUGGACUCCAAAACACCAGAUAAUCUGCUGAUUUCAUGUCUUGUGCACUUUCAAGUACCAGAGGCAUCAAAGUAACCCUGCAGCAUUAUCAAACCUCUGCAUCUUUUAUUGUAGGGAGGGUGUUAUUUUCAAUGAAUUAUUCAUUUGGUUGAAAGUAAACGCAGCACUGAUCUGUAUUGCCAAAGAUAUGCAUUUUGUUUCAUUGGUCUACAGAACAUUUCCCCCAUGAUUUAGGUUUGUUUAAGUUAAAUCAGUCUCUUGUGUUUCCUUCAGCAGUGGGGUCUUCCUAUGUUUGCCAAUGACCAAAUGAAGCAUUCAAAGAAAAUAACACCCUCCCUACAGUCAAAUAUGGGAGAGGUUCGAUAAUGUUGUGGGGUUGCUUUGCUGCCUCUGGUACUGGGGGGCCUUAAAUGUGUGCCAGACAUCAUGCAUUCAGCAGAUUAUCAAGAUAUUUUGGAAUGCAAUGUUCAACUCGGUGUCCAAAAACGGUGUCUCUGUUGAAGGUUAUGGAUCUUCCAGCAGGACAACCCCAAACAUACAUCAAAAGCAACCUGGAAUGGUUUAAGAAGAAACGCCAGCAAUGAGUCCAGAUCUCAACCACAUCCAUAAUUUAUGGCUAGAGCUGAAAACAGCAGUUGAUGGAGGGUAUGACACCUACCGCCAUACCCCGUUUAAAGACACUUAAAUCUCUGAAUGGCACACAUACACAAUCCAUGUCUCAGUUGUCCCAAGGCUUAAAAAUCCUUCUUUAACCUGUCUACCCCCCUUCAUCUACGCUGAUUGAAGUUCUUCUCCACUUAUUUGAAGUGGAUUUAACAAGUGACAUAAAUAAAGGAUCAUAGCCAUAUAAAAUAUCUAGUUUGUAAAAUAGUUGCUGUUGAGCUCAAAAUUGAGAGCUGAGAAAUCAAAAGUAUAUCUACAGAAUGCUGAUAAUCUCCUCUCUCCAACUGUGACGAUGGGAUAGCAGUGUUCUCCCUGCAAUUGGGUUUUAAAAUGUUAUACAAUCAGAACACUUUUUCUCACGGAGCAUUGGCUCAUCACUGCCUCGUCUCUGCUGUAUUCACUUCUUGCCCACAUCCUCUUGAAACAUAAUAGCAGCUAGCAAGAUGGCGAUCAUGGAGUUUCUUUUUCAUAGAUGAAUUUCUAAAGUGGCUAGUUUGCAUCAUCAAUCUUUUUUUUUUAUCCAUUGAGUGGUUGGUAAGGGGGCCGGAACAUAACAAAUCAUUUGUAGACUGCAAAAUGACAGCAAGAAGCCCAAACAUAUGUAAUAUUUGACUAAAACAAAAAUGUUAAACUUUACAUUUUGUAUACGAUCACAUGUAUCUCUGUUAUGUGUGGGAAUACUUUGGAACAGAUUACCAAAAUUAAAAUCACUUGGAGCCGA